CUUAUUUUGUUCUUGGUUACUUUUAUAUCUUUAUAAGAAAGUUUGAAAGCUUUUAAUGGUUGGGUUUGUUUGAGUUUUUUCUUCAGUUUGUUUUGAUUAAAAGUUGUGCCAGCAUUCGCGGUCAUACAACGUUAUAUUUAAGUCUUAAAAUUUUGUCUAUAAAAUUUUUUCUUCUGUUUCUUUUUUAUUUGGUGAAAUGAUUUUGGAGAAGUCUUGAGCAGUCUAUUUUAAUAGUUGAGUAGAUGUCACAGAUUGUUGAACCAUGGAUUAGAUACCCUGUUACAACUGGGUUAUUCUUAGGUAUUAUUUUAAUAUAUUUUAAACCUUAGAGAACUUGGCGGUUUCUAACAUUUCUAGAGGAACUUGUGAAUUAAUGGAUAACCCGCUGUUCUUUUACCCCCUUUUAUUUUUGUAUAUCGCUGUUGUAUCUCAUAUGUUGGGUGUCGCAUUAUAAUAACGGUGAAUUCUGGUCAUGGUGCAAAAAAUAAUGGGGUUUUCAUGAGUUACUUUAUUUUUAUUUUACUUUUUGUUUUUUUGAAAUUGGAUUUAGCAGUAAAGAAUUUAAUGAAACUGAUUUUUGUUAUAUCAAUUAGAAAAGUACAUAUCGCCCGUCAUUCUUUUGAUAGACAAGUCGUAACAAAGUAGGAGCUCCGGAAGGAGCUUCU
rnacentral:rRNA from 1 species